GUUAAAGGGGUGGAAAGAGGAAUUUACAAAAUAGUAAUAAUAACCGACAAAGAAAAUUUCCUGCUAGGAACGAGGAACUGAGAAUGCCAUAGGGCCUGCAAGAUGGUGGAUGGCGAGAACAGACCCCCAUGAGUCCUCCUCCUCCACAGGUCUGUCCAGGCUGGGUCUGUCUCCUGUGGGAUCCCAGCGGCAAGCCGAUGCCUUGAACAUGAACCAUGGGAUGAGCAGGAGGAGCCUUGAAACUUUGAAUGUACCCUACCUGUCCCCGGUGUCUUUGAAGAAUGGAAAGCAGGAAGACCCAGUCCUUGCAUACAGGAGACUGCCCUGUGGUCUGUGUUCCUGGGAUUUACCUGAGUGAACCCUCAUGGAACACGUUCCCAUGAUUCAUGAGAAAAGUACAAGAAGAAACAACAUAGCCGGGCU
rnacentral:lncRNA from 1 species